rnacentral:rRNA from 1 species
UACGUAGGGGGCAAGCGUUGUCCGGAUUUAUUGGGCGUAAAGAGCGUGUAGGCGGCUUUACAGGUCCGUUGUGAAAACUCGAGGCUCAACCUCGAGACGCCGGCGGAAACCGUAAGGCUAGAGUCCGGAAGAGGAGAGUGGAAUUCCUGGUGUAGCGGUGAAAUGCGCAGAUAUCAGGAGGAACACCCGUGGCGAAAGCGGCUCUCUGGGACGGUACUGACGCUGAGACGCGAAAAGCGUGGGGAGCAAACAGG